CACGUAGGGGGCGAGCGUUGUCCGGAAUUAUUGGGCGUAAAGGGCUCGUAGGCGGUUUGUCGCGUCGGGAGUGAAAUCCACUGGCUUAACUGGUGGCUUGCUUUCGAUACGGGCAGACUGGAGGUAUGCAGGGGGAGAACGGAAUUCCUGGUGUAGCGGUGAAAUGCGCAGAUAUCAGGAGGAACACCGGUGGCGAAGGCGGGUCUCUGGGCCGAUACUGACGCUGAUGCGCGAAAGCUAGGGGGAGCGAACGGG
rnacentral:rRNA from 1 species